GCCGAAGUGGUGAAACUGGUAGACACGCACGUUUCAGGGGCGUGUGGGCUUACGCCCGUGCGAGUUCGACUCUCGCCUUCGGCA
rnacentral:tRNA from 1 species